CUUUUUAUUCACUGCAGUUUUACCCAGCAGCUUUGGAACCUUUUCAAACAAUGGUCUACGGUGGAUUUCCCCAUCCCGGACAGCAGCUUUGACAGCACAGAAGACUGGUGGCUCGCGACAAGGAGGACAAUUCCCAAGCAAGUGCGAUGGAACUUCGACACUAUUGUCAUCUUCAUCCAUUGGAGGAUCUGGAAGGAGCGGAAUGCGAGAACUUUUCAGCAUACUGCUUGUAAUAUGGAGAGGGUCCUAGAUCUUAUCAGAGAAGACAUUGGAAUGUGGAGAUCAACCGGAUGUGUGACUGAUUUAGUUUCUUAG
rnacentral:rRNA from 1 species